UGUCAAGUAUCAUUCAUGACAAAUGAAUUUGUUAGUCAUAGAAUUGUAUGCACCAAAAUAUUCAGAUAAUAUUGUAAGAUACCUAUUAGAAAUGUGUCCGUGAUAUCUGUGAUACUAAAUGUUAAUAUCUUUUAAUAUCAUGAAAUAUUAACACUUAAGAGAAUAUAGUUAAUAUAAGAAAAAUAUGGCGUUGUACGAGGGAAUCGCGUUAAUACAAGAGAAACAGGCCGUCGUGUUGGACCUCGGCACUGAUUACACUAAGUUCGGCUUCACGGGCGAGGCGGCGCCGCGCUGCAUCGUGCGCUCGCAGUUCUGGUGCGCGCGCGAGCGACGCCUGCGCCGCGUGCACGACUACCGCUCGCCCGACGAGCUCUACGACAACCUCGUGCAGAUGCUGCAUCUGCUCUACUUCAGACACGUGCUGGUGAACCCUAAGGAGCGCAAGGUGGUGGUGGUGGAGUCGCUGCUCACUCCCACGCUGUUCCGCGAGACGCUCGCCAAGGUGCUGUUCACGCACUACGAGGUGUCGGGCGUGAUCUGGGCGGACCGGCCGCGGCUGAGCGCGCUGACGCUGGGCGCGGCGGCGGCGCUGGUGGUGGCGCUGGGCGCGCGCGAGGCGGAGGUGGCGCCCGUGCUGCACGCCGCGCUGCUGCUGCCGGCGCUGCAGGCGCAGCCGCUGGGUGCCCGUGCGGUGCACGCCGAGCUGGCGCGUCUGCUGGACGAGCACCACGGCGCGCCGCUCGCGCUCUCCGACGAGGAGCUCGAGGAUAUCAAAGUGAAGACGUGCUUCGUGAUCCCCCGGGCGCGCGCGCUGCAGUGGCAGUCGGGCAGCCCGCCGGCCGCCGCGCGGGACGUGGCGUGCGGUCGCGUGCUGGUGCCGGGGCGCGUGCGCGAGCUGGCAGCUGAGGCGCUGUUCGCGCGCGACGCGGAGCUGGGCUCGCUGGGCGACGCCGUGCUGCAGUGCCUGGCGCGCUGCCCGCGGGACGCGCGGCGGCCGCUGGCGGAGAGCAUCGUGCUGACGGGCGGCGGCGCGGCGCUGCCGGGGUUGCGCGCGCGGCUGGCGGCGGAGCUGCGGGCGCUGGUGGCGGAGGAGCCGUACGCGUCGCGCCUGCACGUGCGCACGUUCAAGUUCCACACGGCACCGGCGCAGCCCAACAGCGUGGCGUGGCUGGGCGGCGCGCUGCUGGGCGCGGGCGAGGCGGGCGCGGCGCGGGCGCAGGCGCGGGAGCAGUACGCGCGGGAGCCGCGGCUGCGCGACUGGGUGUGUCUGCUGGACAACACGCCGCCCGCGCACCCGCAGCGCCUCGCCGCCGACAUGUAACCGCCCGGCUGCACAGACCAAAGUGGAGCUACACUUAGCUCUACCCAGCUCAAGCUAGGUGUAGCUUGCCAAAUAUGGCUGCAUGUAUGCUUUUUUCGGUUACAACUGUCGGUAAAGCUAUAUAUAACCUUCAUCAUAUGGACUAGAACUAGGUGCAGCCGCAGUUAGGUGUAUACUAUUCAUCACAGUGAUGGAUCUUCGGCAAUGUCACUGUGGGUGACUCACAACCCUGAUGAACUCGUGACGUCACACUAUUUCGUCUUUAGAUUCUCCCCAUAUGACCUCCUCCUCUAUAAUAUCUGUUAAUUUUUUUUCCCCUAUGGAUGUACUUACAUUAUGUACUAUACUCUAUCCACGGAAGCAAGAGCUAAAAGGUAAACAAAGAAUGACAGUUUUUCAAGAUGGCGGUAUAACCCGACCGAUGACAAAACGUCACAUUUUUGUGUAAAAUGUUCGCAGUAUCUGUGAUUUUGUCAUCGGUCGGGUUAUACCGCCAUCUUGAAAAAGUGUCAUUCUUUGUUUACCUUUUAGCUCUUGCUUCCGUGGAUAGGGUAUAGCCCUACUAAUUCUCCGUUAUAUUAUCCUCAUAAACGCGCUUACGUAUUUCCUCUACAUACACCUUUAUAUACUUUAUUAUUUAUAUAGUUCUUUACGUACCCUUGUAUACUUCCUUAUGUAUUCCCC
rnacentral:misc_RNA from 1 species